AGUUGCACAAACCAGAGACGGCGGUCGAUCCAGAGAUUAAAACUUGGUUGCAGUGAGAGGUUUUUAUAGAGAGUAAUUAGUUAAAGGUUUGUGUUUAUUUCUUGAAGACAAAGCCAUGAGAAACCAGAGAAGGUGGUCGAAGAAAUCAGAGAUAACGGAAGAUCUAAAAAGAGAAGAAGGAGAUCGAUAUAAAACGAAAUGUAUUUAUGAAUGUAAUUACCCUGAUGCACAUCAAUUUAAGGGUAAUGAAUGGUGUGCAUGAGGGAAAGAAACUGUAUUGUGAAUAGGAAGAGGUCUUGGACAGAGACGAACUCACAGAAAAAGCCUAGAUGUUGUACUAAAUGUGGUGGACCUAAUCAAAACAGAUCUACUUGUAAAGGUGGAUAAUUUGGGUCUAAUCCUAAGAAGAAAGGAGCAAGAACUAAGUGUCAGGUUGAUGGUGAGUCAUUUUUUGAGAAAGCUGAAGUUCCAAAGAGGAUUAGGAAGAAACAUGCAACAUCUACUUCAACUGUGGCUACGAAGAAAACCGCAACAUCUACUUCAACUGCUGCUGGAACAAAGAAGAAGAAGGCAACCAAGAUUUCCAUUGGCAAUAUAAAGGUGAAGCAGAAUUUUACUGCAGGUUCAGGUAGUGGUGUUUGUGGAUUAUGGUGUUUGUUAGGCCUGCACAUUUGACAAUGUUUUGGGUGUUUCACCUGUGGUGGUUUUUUGACGUUGGUAGUGAUGUUAAUUUGUCUCUUUUUAGAGACAGCUUUUAGUGGGUAUGUUGUUAUUUUGAGAAGUGAAAGUGCUUUUACUGAUA